AGAGUGCGUGGCAAUUGA
rnacentral:misc_RNA from 1 species